UUCCUUUUGUUUAUUAUAAAAGGUAUAACCUGCUCAAUGAUUUAAUUUAAAUAGCCGCGAUAUUUAUCGUGCUAAGGUAGCAUAAUAAUUUGUCCUUUAAUUAAGGUCUAGUAUGAAUGGUUGAACGAAAAAUUAACUUUUUUAAUUAAAUUUUAAUUAAUUUUAUUUUUUAGUAAAAAAGCUAAAAUUUAUUUAUGGGACGAUAAGACCCUAUAAAAUUUUAUUUUUAUUAUAUUUUAUGAAUAAUUAGAUUCUUUAUUUAUAAUUUAUUAAAAAAUUUGGUUGGGGUGAUUAUUUUAUUUAUAUAACUUUAAUUUUUAAAAAUCAUUAAUUAAUGAAUUAUUGAUCCUAAAAUUUAGAUUAUAAGAUUAAAUUACUUUAGGGAUAACAGCGUGAUUUUCUUGGGGAGUUCUAAUUUAUAAGAAAGAUUGCGA
rnacentral:rRNA from 1 species